AAACUGGAGAGUUUGAUCCUGGCUCAGAACGAACGCUGGCGGCGUGGAUUAGGCAUGCAAGUCGAACGAUCCCUUUCGUCAAGAGGGGGAUAGUGGCGAACGGGUGAGUAACACGUGGGUAAUCUGCCUUUAGGUUCGGGAUAACCCGUCGAAAGAUGGACUAAUACCGGAUGAGACCACGGUCCCCGAUGGGACUGGGGUUAAAGAUGGGGAUCCUGAAAAUGGACCUGUUGCCUUUAGAUGAGCCCGCGAACUAUCAGCUUGUUGGUAGGGUAACGGCCUACCAAGGCUAUGACGGUUAGCUGGUCUGAGAGGAUGGUCAGCCACACUGGGACUGAGACACUGCCCAGACUCCUACGGGAGGCUGCAGUCGAGAAUCUUUUGCAAUGCUCGAAAGGGUGACAAUGCGACGCCGCGUGAGCGAUGAAGGCCUUCGGGUUGUAAAGCUCUGUCAGCUGGGAUGAAUGUAAGGCGGUCAAUAACCGUCUUGCUUGACAGUACCAGCAAAGGAAGCCACGGCUAACUCCGUGCCAGCAGCCGCGGUAAUACGGAGGUGGCAAGCGUUGUUCGGAUUUACUGGGUGUAAAGGACAUGUAGGCGUCUUAUUAAGUCGGAUGUGAAAUCCCUUGGCUCAACCAAGGAACUGCAUCCGAUACUGAUAAGAUUGAGUACGGGAGAGGUAAGCGGAAUUCCGGAAGUAAGGGUGAAAUCUGUAGAUAUCCGGAGGAACACCAUUAGCGAAGGCGGCUUACUGGUCCGAUACUGACGCUGAAAUGUGAAAGCUAGGGGAGCAAACAGGAUUAGAUACCCUGGUAGUCCUAGCUGUAAACGAUGGGCACUAGGUGCUGGCCCGAUAGGGGCAGUGUCGUAGCUAACGCGUUAAGUGCCCCACCUGGGGACUACGGUCGCAAGGCUAAAACUCAAAGGAAUUGACGGGGACCCGCACAAGCGGUGGAGCAUGUGGUUUAAUUCGAUGCUACGCGAGGAACCUUACCUGGGCUU
rnacentral:rRNA from 1 species